rnacentral:misc_RNA from 1 species
UUUGGGAAGUCCUUGUGUUGCACCCCUUUUGCAUUUUUUAUUUUCCNCCAUCUAUUUCCCGAGGCCCGUUGCUGCUGUUCAGGACGAAGGGCCGGCCGACCCCAGNAUCGGGUGCGGGCCCCCGGUAGCUUGAUGGCCGUCCCGAUGNGACGUUGUUGAAGCGAAGGGACGCGCGAAGGGCCAAACCGUCUGGAUAGAAAGGUUUGUGACGGAACCAGUUGGAAAACGGUGAGAUGGAGGUGAAACUUUGGAUUUUCCACUCUCCCAAAUGCNCACACCCGUCCGUAUUCGACCUUGUUUCACAUACGGAGUGAUCGGCGUAUGCGAGCGGCAACUGCAACGUCGUGCAUUUGCUGUGNCGACCUCGCUGCUGCUGAUGCUUCUCGCAGGAACAAAUAAAUUCGUGGUAGGCAAAAU